AAUGAACGCUGGCGGCAGGCCUAACACAUGCAAGUCGAACGGAUCCUUCGGGAUUAGUGGCGGACGGGUGAGUAACGCGUGGGAACAUACCCAAAGGUACGGAAUAGCCUCGGGAAACUGGGAGUAAUACCGUAUGUGCUCGAAAGAGGAAAGAUUUAUCGCCUUUGGAUUGGCCCGCGUUGGAUUAGGUAGUUGGUGGGGUAAUGGCCUACCAAGCCGACGAUCCAUAGCUGGUUUGAGAGGAUGAUCAGCCGCACUGGGACUGAGACACGGCCCAGACUCCUACGGGAGGCAGCAAUGGGGAAUGUUAGAGAAUGGUGGAAACCCUGAUCUAGCCGUGCCGCGUGAUCGAUGAAGGCCUUAGGGUUGUAAAGAUCUUUCAGGUGGGAAGAUAAUGACUGUACCACCAGAAGAAGGCCCGGCUAACUCCGUGCCAGCAGCCGCAGUAA
rnacentral:rRNA from 1 species